rnacentral:rRNA from 1 species
GACGAACGCUGGCGGCGUGCCUAAUACAUGCAAGUAGAACGCUGAAGAGAGGAGCUUGCUCUUCUUGGAUGAGUUGCGAACGGGUGAGUAACGCGUAGGUAACCUGCCUUGUAGCGGGGGAUAACUAUUGGAAACGAUAGCUAAUACCGCAUAACAAUGGAUGACACAUGUUAUUUAUUUGAAAGGGGCAAUUGCUCCACUACAAGAUGGACCUGCGUUGUAUUAGCUAGUAGGUGAGGUAAUGGCCUAACUAGGCGACGAUACAUAGCCGAACUGAGAGGGGGAUCCGCCACACUGGGACUGAGACACGGCCCAGACUCCUACGGGAGGCAGCAGUAGGGAAUCUUCGGCAAUGGGGGCAACCCUGACCGAGCAACGCCGCGUGAGUGAAGAAGGUUUUCGGAUCGGAAAGAUCUGUUGUAAGUCAAGAACGGGUGUGAGAGUGGAAAGUUCACGCUGUGACGGUAGCUUACCAGAAAGGGACGGCUAACUACGUG